GUUGCGGUGUAGCAUUUUUCCUUGCACAUCACAGGCAGGACUCGAGCCAGGACAUUGUCGGUACCAGAGAAAAGCUUGCUUUCCGGUUAGAGGUACUUUUGGGUGGUUUUCUACGCUCAAUCUGUGAAGUUUCGCGUUCGAUUGCGGAUCCAAGUAAGUCGUGAAUCAUUGUUCGAAUAGUUUCUGACCACCGGAAGGUCAAUUGCGGGCGAAUUUCGCAAAGGAUACUUUGAUCGGCGCUGCCAGGCCUGAUUGUCGGAGACUUGCUUUGAUUGAUUGUGUACUUUUCGGAAAGUUUUUCGGAUGAUAACGCGCGCCUAUAGCAAGUGAUUGAGAGAUAAAUUUCCGAUUAUUGUGAGCUUGGCGUAGAUAAGUUUUGGGUGUUCGAUUCCCGUGUGGUAGGGAGAAUUCUGUUUUAAGCGAUUCGAAUCAAGUGGGGGAUUUUUCCGGGACCAUUUCCGACAUUGGUGCGGCUAGGACGAGCCGGAAGGAAGUUUUCACUUUGAAUUUCUGAAAAUCAUCGAUUCCCCGAAGCGUGUGUUUUUUGAUUAAAGAAAAAGUGCAAUCCAGAGUGUCUUGUUUUUUUGUACAUCCAAAUUGAGACGUUACAGGAGUGGAUUAUUUCCAGCUUACAUUUUUGACUGCAAACCUCUCGACUCCGGAAGACAACCAGCGAAAUGGGGAACAUACACACCGUAGGCCCGAACGAGGCUCUCAUCGUAUCAGGUAAUCUAUUGGUUAACAAUCGGUUGUUUUGGGUACGUAUAAUAAUAUUUUCACGGUGAAGACAGAUUUGCUGUACAAUUCAUCCCCCUGAAUGUUAGUGUGGAUAGGAUGUGUGGAAAAAUUAGAUCUUGGAGUUCGAAAAACUAAAACAAAUGUUCAAUUCCCAUGAUUAUGUGGUACAUCAAAACGCUCAUAGUUCAAUUUUUACUAGGGUAGUUUUCAAAACAGUUCAAAUGAAAUUAUUGUUUCCUGGAAGGACGAAAUAAAUUUCUGUAGGAAUCUCAUCUUUAUUAAUUUUCGUUACACGCAAACUCACACUAUCAAAUGGAAAGUUUUGCUAAAAAAUGUCAAAAAAUAAAUAAUGAAAAUAAAUGAAAAAAUGACAUAAAAAAUAAUUAAAACAACAUGAACAAAAAUGCCAAAAAUGUUAAGACUGGCAUAAAAUGCAAAAAGACAAAUAAACACAAAAAAGACAAAAAAGACAAAAAAGACAAAAAAGACAAAAAAGACA